rnacentral:rRNA from 1 species
UACAGAGGAGCCAAGCGUUGUCCGGAUUUACUGGGCGUAAAGGGCGCGUAGGCGGCCACCGCAAGUCGACUGUGAAAUCUCCGGGCUUAACCCGGAAAGGUCAGCCGAUACUGCGGGGCUAGAGUGCAGAAGGGGCAACUGGAAUUCUCGGUGUAGCGGUGAAAUGCGUAGAUAUCGAGAGGAACACCUGCGGCGAAGGCGGGUUGCUGGGCUGACACUGACGCUGAGGCGCGAAAGCGUGGGGAGCAAACAGG